rnacentral:pre_miRNA from 1 species
UAACUACUCCCUUCGUUCGGAAAUACUUGUCCUAGAGAUGAAUGUAUCUAGACUUAUUUUAAUUAUAGAUACAUCCAUUAUAUAUAUUUGUAGGACAAAUAUUUUUAAACGAAGGGAGUAUUAA